AUUAGAUUAAAGAUAUUUAUUGGAAUUAGGCUAACACCAAAGGAUUGUAAAUUACCUCUGAAUCACUAAUUUGGUAGCGAACAACAGAAACCGAUCUCCUUCUUCUCGAAUUAGCAUCAGAAACUGCUCUUCCACUACCGCAACCGCCGAUUCUGCUCCUCCUAUCAUCAACACUUCCGGAGCUCUUCCUCGAAACGGACCUCCCUCGCCUCUGCGAUGCAGUACCGGCAGCAGGACUAUCCUUGGUCUCAAAGCUUCUAGAACCGGAGCGGCCGCGGUUAACGGAAUCGAAGAAAUCGAUGGAGAGAUCAUCGAGGCUGAUCUCUGGGAAUCCGGUGCCUCUGACGGUGUUGACGAAGUUCCCUUUGUUAUCAGGAGGGUUGAGGGGGCGGGAGAAUUGGCUUAGACUCCGGGAACGGCGGUGGCGGUGGGAGGAAGAGGAAGCGGUGGAAUCUUCGGCGGGAGAAGAUGCUCCGACGGGGGUUCUUUUGGUGGUUGAUUUGAAUGCCGCGGUGGCCAUGAAUUCAAAUUCAAAUGCAGGGUUAUGGUUUGAGAGAAAGAAGUUUUAAAGUGUCAUUCAUUGCACGUGAAGUGAAGAAAUACUGGGAAGUGAUGAGGGGAAGAAAAGAUUGGCGGAGAGAUCAAAAAAGUUUGAAUAUCUUACUUAAGGUCGAUUAUAUUAUAUUAUUAUUCCAUUU
rnacentral:lncRNA from 1 species